rnacentral:rRNA from 1 species
UAGCCAUGCCGCGUGAGUGACGAAGGCCUUAGGGUCGUAAAGCUCUUUCGCCCGGGAUGAUAGUGACGGUACCUGGUAAAGAAACCCCGGCUAACUCCGUGCCAGCAGCCGCGGUAAUACUGAGGGGGUUAGCGUUGUUCGGAAUUACUGGGCGUAAAGCGCACGUAAGCGGACUGGAAAGUUGGGGGUGAAAUCCCGGGGCUCAACCUCGGAACUGCCUCCAAACUCCUACUCUAAAGUUCGAGAGAGGUGAGUGGAAUUCCGAGUGUAAAGGUGAAAUUCAUAUAUAUUCGGAGGAACACCAUUGGCAAAGGCGGCUCACUGCUCGAUACUGACGCUGAGGUCUAAAGUGUGGGGAGCAAACAGGAUUAAAUACCCUGGUAGUCCACACCGUAAAUAUGAAGGCCAUUCGUCCGUAGCAUGCUUGUCGGUACACCUGACCAUUAACUUCCGCCUGGGGAUACGGUCCAAGAUUAAAACUCAAAGAAAUUCACGGUUAAACUCAAUGAUUUACGG